AUUGAACGCUGGCGGCAGGCCUAACACAUGCAAGUCGAACGAGUGGCGGAAGGGUGAGUAAUGUAUGGGAAACUGACUGAUGGAGGGGGAUAACUACUGGGAACGGUAGCUACUAACGCAAACAAUCGGAUGUGCCCAGAUGGGAUUAGCUAGUCGGGGGGGUAAAGGCUAACCUAGGCGCAGCGCCCGAGCUGGUCUGAGAGGAUGACCAGCCAAACUGGAACUGAGACACGGUCCAGACUCCUACGGGAGGCAGCAGUGGGGAAUAUUGCACAAUGGGCGCAAGCCUGAUGCAGCCAUGCCGCGUGUAUGAAGAAGGCCGUCGGGUUGUAAAGUACUUUCAGCGGGGAGGCGUUACCCGCAGAAGAAGCACCGGCUAACUCCGUGCCAGCCGCCGCGGUAAUUC
rnacentral:rRNA from 1 species